CGAAAGCAGAGGUCCUACAAUCUCAUCUGUAACGGCGCAAAACAGUAGAUUAUCGUCUCGUUCUGUAGCACCUUCUCUUUGUGAACUGCAGAAGAGUGUAUUAUUAUCUGGAUUGACAGCGGAUGGGUUUUAAUGAUGCUUAUACGCGGGGCUGAAGUCUCGCUCGUGACGAUCCUUGAAAGUGCGUCAUUGAGAAGCGUGAUGGUCAGCGGCUGAUUGUUUCCUGAAAGCUCUGCUAAUGUCUGCAUUGGUGUUUUAGCUGCAGUAUGGCAGAGGAGCGAGUAAAGGACUCUCUCUCAGAGAAACACAGUGUGAGAUCAGGAUCAUGUGUGUCUCUGAAGAGUGACCAGUCUAAAGAGUGGAAUCCAC